CUUUAUUCAGCUGGGAGCAUCGGCGGACUCACAUCUCCAAAAACCGAGCUCCCUGAGUGAGCAAUUCCUAUCCCUUUUAAGGGUUUAUGAUUCUAAGGGGGUCCGUGUGAGAGGGUCAUGAUCGAUUGAGCAAGCAGGGGAUAUGUGACUGGGGGCUGCAUGCACUGGUAAUCAGAAUGGAACAAAACAGGACAGGGAUUUUCACAGUGCUUUUCCAUACAAUGUCUGGAAUCUAUAGAUAACAGAACCAGUUAGGUCAGGGGUUGAUCUUUAACUACCAGGCCUGGAAUGCAGUGCCAGGCUAACUACUGAUUUCAUUUCUGUCUUUUCUUUAACUCCUACUUUUUCUUUGAGGCAGAAAUUGGGCAUAAGACAAUAUGAGGGGUGGUCUCCUCCCUUCUCAUAACAACCUUGUGAGGGAGGGUUCAUUUAUCAAAGAAGACACUGAGCACAGGAGGCCACCAUUUACCAGGGGCAAAGCCAGGAUCUGAACCCAGACGGCCCGGCUCCGGAGUCCAUGCUCCUGAGCACCACACAGUGCUGCUCCCUUGGAAAUUCAGAAAGGCUGGACCCCGUGCUCCAGGGCAGCAGGAGGAGGGCACAUGCCAAGGAUGUCACUGGAAAGGGAGCAGAGGUGAGGCUGUGAAGCCUUUAUACCCAAGAGAAACUCAGCUGGACACCAG
rnacentral:lncRNA from 1 species